CGGCGUUUAUGCAUAUGGAAGUUUUAAUGCGUUGAUCUUCACUGUCAGUUGUGCGACGAGAAGACAGAUUCGGAUUUCAUUCAUGAAGAGUGUCAGCACACCAUAUUUCCCUGUUCCAGGAAGUGAGAAUUGAAUCUGAAAGGAAAGUGAUCCGUUCAAGAUUGCUGUUGUCUGCCUCCAGUCCCCAGCAAGCAUUGUGAGGCUUUUAGGUUUGGGGUCUCAUGAAAGGAUUUCACUUGGCCAUGAGGCUGAGGUUGUUGACCCCUCUUCGGACAUCAUAAACAGAGGAAGAAAGGAUGGAGAUGGAGUGAAGGAAGGAUAUGCCAUGAACAAAUGAAUGGUCAUUUGGAACUUCAAUUUUUUAAGAGGUAUUUGAAGGAAUUUUCACCCACCCUUCCCUGCAGAUCACUUCGAGUUCUGAGAUGCUCUUGGGCCGUCUUACAUGCACAGCAUGUUUAGGAUCUACCCACAGAUUUUCAAUGAUGUUCAAGUCAGGGGACUGUGAGGGCCAUUCCAAAAGCUUCAGUUUGUGUUUCUUGAAGUAAUUCAUGGUGGAUUUUGAGGUAUGUUUUGGAUCAUUGUCCUGUUGUAGAAGCCAACCUCUUUUCAGCUUCAGUUUUUUGACUGACUGUGUGACAUUUGCCUCCAGAAUUUGUUGAUAUUUAGAGGAAUCCAUUCUUCCCUCUACCUGUGCAAUGUUUCCUGUGCCACUGGUUGGCACACAACCAAAGCAUAAUAGAUCCACCCCCAUGCUUAACAGUUGUUAAGGUGUUUUCAUCAAAUGUUGCUCCUUUUUUUCUCCAAACAUACCUUUGGUGAUUAUGGCCAAAGAGUUCCAUUUUUAAUUCAUCAGUCCACAGCACUCAUUUCCAAAAUUCCUCUGUCUUAUUUAGAUGUUGUUUUGCAUACUUCAGACAUUGACUUUUGUGAUGAAGUCGCAGGUAAGGUUUCCUUCUGUCGAUUCUUCCACGCAGAUCAUGUUUGUGCAACACUGCACAGUGGAAUGGUGCACCACCACUCCUGUGUUAGCUGAACCUUCCUGCAGGUCCUUUGCAGUCACAUAGGGGUUUUGCUUUGCCUUACUGCCCAGCAGGCUCGGGGAGUGAUGGAAUACACAGAACAGCGUUACAUAAAAAGUAACUGUAUUCCGUUACAGUUAUAGGAAAAAAGACGGCAGAUUACGGACGCAUUUAUUAAAUAUGGGGAUUAUUA